rnacentral:rRNA from 1 species
CACGUAGGCGGCUUCUUAAGUCAGGGGUGAAAUCCUGGAGCUCAACUCCAGAACUGCCUUUGAUACUGAGGAGCUCGAGUCCGGGAGAGGUGAGUGGAACUGCGAGUGUAGAGGUGAAAUUCGUAGAUAUUCGCAAGAACACCAGUGGCGAAGGCGGCUCACUGGCCCGGUACUGACGCUGAGGUGCGAAAGCGUGGGAGCAAACA